rnacentral:pre_miRNA from 1 species
CUUUCACCUUCUACCUCUUUCUCUAUAACCCAAAUCACAUAAAUUCAAAAGGAAGAACAAGGUGAAUGUGAUAAACAUAUAGAUUUUUUUAGGAUUUUGAAUUUCUAGGUUUAAGGAUUUGAAUUAUGGAGGAAGAGGAAGAAGGUGGAAG